UGGGGAAUUUUGGACAAUGGGGGAAACCCUGAUCCAGCCAUCCCGCGUGUGCGAUGAAGGCCUUCGGGUUGUAAAGCACUUUUGGCAGGAAAGAAACGUCAUGGGUUAAUACCCCGUGAAACUGACGGUACCUGCAGAAUAAGCACCGGCUAACUACGUGCCAGCAGCCGCGGUAAUACGUAGGGUGCAAGCGUUAAUCGGAAUUACUGGGCGUAAAGCGUGCGCAGGCGGUUCGGAAAGAAAGAUGUGAAAUCCCAGAGCUCAACUUUGGAACUGCAUUUUUAACUACCGGGCUAGAGUGUGUCAGAGGGAGGUGGAAUUCCGCGUGUAGCAGUGAAAUGCGUAGAUGUGCGGAGGAACACCGAUGGCGAAGGCAGCCUCCUGGGAUAACACUGACGCUCAUGCACGAGAGCGUGGGGAGCAAACAGG
rnacentral:rRNA from 1 species